GUGGGGAAGGCUUAUGUGGCGCAAGGUGGAAUCCUAGUCUUACAAGGAUUCUAUCUUAUGACUUGUUUUAAUUUGGUUUUCCAAAUCAAAUCAAACCAAAAUUAGAUCAACCUAAUUAAAAUAAGUCUUAACUCAAUUAAAAACUUAAUUUAAUCAGAUUAAAUUAGAUUUAAAUCUGAUUUAAUUUUUUAAUCAAAUUAGAAAUUAGAUUGA
rnacentral:lncRNA from 1 species